UACAUUUUCUGAGGUUUGCCUUCUUAAGUUCACAGAGGAAUAUCUGCAGAGGUGCGGUGGCAAAUUAUUCUGACUUAUAAUGAGACAGUGGGUUGCACAGACACUUUGACAUCAGAGAGGCUAUGCCCCCUGCCCUGGGUUGUGGGCGAAGACAUCGUUAAAACAUCUAAGAACCGAGACCAAGCAACGUCAUCUCAAGCAUGCCAAACCACUAUUCCGUGUUGUGAAUUACUACAAGCGACUUCAUCCAUCCACUUACCUCAUCUUGAGAAUGUACUCCAUCUCUCUAUCCGCAUCGGACGAUGAAUUAUUCAGACGGAAUCAAGACGACCACUUUCGAAGUAUCCAUCAAACCACAUCAGCAGACGCAGCAUCAGAAGCCGAAAGCUGCCUCCUCCAUACCUAAGACCCCGCUUUCCACAGCGCUAUCCAGGACGCAGUGGGACAUCAGGGCCCACUGUCAUUGAGCUCCACUAAUCACAUCAGUUAGCCUUAGCAGGGGAAUUUGCAGGGGCACUAGUAUGCCAGUGCCCACUUCCAGUAACCGAAGCAGCUCAAUCUAGCUCCUGGCACUGGGAUGCGCUCCAAGCAGUCCACUUCCAGAAACCACAGCAGCUGGCUCCAGACUGGCAUUUAGCACUAGGAUACCAGGGCUUCCAGCAACCACAGCAGCUGGAUUCAGUUGGAGCAUUUUGUACCAGCAUGCCAGUACCCUCUGCAGAACACCUCUAGCAACCAUGGCAGCACCAGGAUACCGACUCCCAUCAGUCCAUCACAGCCGUUGCAGCAGCAAGUUCUUUCCAUACUAAACUAAAGUCUUCCUUCUUCACACAUUCCAGCCAACAGGCAACCAUCAACCUCACUGCAUCCACAGGUAAUCCCUCCCAUUUGUCAUCCUAACUAUAUCAUCUCCCAUCCUUCAGUUCCCACUAGUCUAUGCAAAGAUUGUAGUGCUCUUCUUAUCAUGCCCACCAAAAACCUGCCAAAUGACUCCUUGAAGGGAACUUCCUGAGGCACUCUCCAGAGAGUAUGCUUUCUUUUCAUUUGCAAUUUCCCACCCACAUGGAAAUGGACAAUUGUAUAGUCAUUAUUCUAAAUCUGGCCCUACGUUUCGGAGGCAAUAGUUUCUCAUCAUCAUCAUGCCGUUCAAGUGCUGC